rnacentral:rRNA from 1 species
UACGUAGGGUCCGAGCGUUGUCCGGAAUUACUGGGCGUAAAGAGCUCGUAGGUGGUUUGUCGCGUUGUUCGUGAAAACUCACAGCUCAACUGUGGGCGUGCGGGCGAUACGGGCAGACUAGAGUACUGGCAGGGGAGACUGGAAUUCCUGGUGUAGCGGGUGGAAUGCGCAGAUAUCAGGAGGAACACCGGUGGCGGAAGGCGGGUCUCUGGGCAGUAACUGACGCUGGAGGAGCGAAAGCCGUGGGGAGCGAACAGG